rnacentral:rRNA from 1 species
UGCCUGUACCAUAACCGACACAGGUGGGUAAGUAGAGUAUACUAAGGGGCGCGAGAUAACUCUCUCUAAGGAACUCGGCAAAAUAACUCCGUAACUUCGGGAGAAGGAGUGCCUUAUUCUUAAGGUUGCAAUAACAAGAUCCAAGCAACUGUUUAUCAAAAACACAGGUCUCCGCUAAGUCGUAAGACGAUGUAUGGGGGCUGACGCCUGCCCAGUGCCAGAAGGUUAAAGAAGUCGGUUAGCAAUAGCAAAGCUGGUAACUGAAGCCCUGGUGAACGGCGGCCGUAACAAUAACGGUCCUAAGGUAGCGAAAUUCCUUGUCGGGUAAGUUCCGACCCGCACGAAAGGCGUAAUGAUUUGGAUGCUGUCUCGGAGAGGGGCUCGGUGAAAUAGACCUGUCUGUGAAGAUGCGGACUACCUGCACCAGGACAGAAAGACCCUAUGAAGCUUUACUGUAACUUGAAAUUGAAAUUGGACUUUAUUCGCGCAGUAUAGGUGGGAGGCGUUGAUUAUAAUCUUGUGGGAUUAUUGGAGCCAUCAGUGAGAUACCACUCUUGUAAUGUUAGAUUUCUAACUUUGAAUCAUUAUCUGGUCAAAGGACAGUUUCAGGCGGGCAGUUUGACUGGGGCGGUCGCCUCCUAAACGGUAACGGAGGCGUACAAAGGUUUCCUCUGAACGGUUAGAAAUCGUAUCUAGAGUGUAAAGGCAUAAGGAAGCUUGACUGUGAGACCUACAAGUCGAGCAGGGACGAAAGUCGGUCUUAGUGAUCUGACGGUACUGAGUGGAAAGGCCGUCACUCAACGGAUAAAAGUUACUCUAGGAUAACAGGCUGAUCUCCCCCAAGAGUUCACAUCGACGGGGAGGUUUGGCACCUCGAUGUCGGCUCAUCGCAUCCUGGGGCGGUAGUACGUCCCAAGGGUUGGGCUGUUCGCCCAUGAAAGCGGUACGCGAGCUGGGUUCAGAACGUCGUGAGACAGUUCGGUCCAUAUCCGGUGUAGGCGCUAGAAUAUUGAGAGGAGCCUUCUUUAGUACGAGAGGACCGAGAAGGACAUACCUCUGGUGUACCAGUUAUCGUGCCAACGGUAAACGCUGGGUAGCUAUGUAUGGAGUGGAUAACCGCUGAAAGCAUCUAAGUGGGAAGCCCACCUCAAGAUAAGUAUUCUCAUCACGUAAGUGAGUAAGGUCACGGUAAGACUAACCGUUUGAUAGGCAUUAAGUGUAAGUACAGUAAUGUAUGUGCUGAGAUGUCCUAAUAGACCGAGGACU